CAGCAGCCGCGGGAAUACGAAGGGUGCAAGCGUUACUCGGAAUUACUGGGCGUAAAGCGUGCGUAGGUGGUUGUUUAAGUCUGCUGUGAAAGCCCUGGGCUCAACCUGGGAAUUGCAGUGGAUACUGGGCGACUAGAGUAAGGUAGAGGAUAGUGGAAUUUCCGGUGUAGCAGUGAAAUGCGUAGAGAUCGGAAGGAACAUCUGUGGCGAAGGCGACUAUCUGGGCCAUUACUGACACUGAGGCACGAAAGCGUGGGGAGCAAACAGGAUUAGAUACCCCUGUAGUCCCUGUCUCUUAUAA
rnacentral:rRNA from 1 species